AGUGAACGCUGGCGGUAGGCCUAACACAUGCAAGUCGAACGGCAGCACAGUAAGAGCUUGCUCUUACGGGUGGCGAGUGGCGGACGGGUGAGGAAUACAUCGGAAUCUACUUUUUCGUGGGGGAUAACGUAGGGAAACUUACGCUAAUACCGCAUACGACCUACGGGUGAAAGCAGGGGAUCUUCGGACCUUGCGCGAUUGAAUGAGCCGAUGUCGGAUUAGCUAGUUGGCGGGGUAAAGGCCCACCAAGGCGACGAUCCGUAGCUGGUCUGAGAGGAUGAUCAGCCACACUGGAACUGAGACACGGUCCAGACUCCUACGGAAGGCAGCAGUGGGGAAUAUUGGACAAUGGGCGCAAGCCUGAUCCAGCCAUGCCGCGUGGGUGAAGAAGGCCUUCGGGUUGUAAAGCCCUUUUGUUGGGAAAGAAAAGCAGCAGGUUAAUACCCCGCUGUUCUGACGGUACCCAAAGAAUAAGCACCGGCUAACUUCGUG
rnacentral:rRNA from 1 species